UAAGCUUCUCGACCUUUGGCUAAGAUCAAGUGUAGUAUCUGUUCUUAUCAGUUUAAUAUCCUGAUAUAUCCUCUAUAUAAAGGACUACAUAUUAAGCAGAUUUUGGCAUGAGACGUAUUUGGAGCUUGCUCCUUUCUCUCAUGUAUCGACCCUAGCAUUGCAGUGCCGCUGGGAAGCGGUGCACUCUGU